UACGGAGGAUGCGAGCGUUAUCCGGAUUUAUUGGGUUUAAAGGGUGCGUAGGCGGACGCUUAAGUCAGCGGUAGAAUUGCGGGGCUCAACCUCGUCGAGCCGUUGAAACUGGGUGCCUUGAGUGGGCGAGAAGUACGCGGAAUGCGUGGUGUAGCGGUGAAAUGCAUAGAUAUCACGCAGAACUCCGAUUGCGAAGGCAGCGUACCGGCGCCCAACUGACGCUGAAGCACGAAGGCGUGGGUAUCGAACAGG
rnacentral:rRNA from 1 species